CCAACAUCUUGGCCCAAAGAAGGUCACUUUUUGAGCAACUAGGUUAAUAUAUUUGACUUUUGAGUCUUAUACUGAUCUAACUCGUCUCCUAGAUAGAGUUAGAGGAUGCGAGUGAUUAGAUACAAUUUCUGCUGACUACCUUUCCAGUGCUAGGAGUAAAGACUGACAGUCAAACUGCCCAAGUUCAAGUCCUGGCUUAACUUCCUCAUUAGUGCUCUUUGACCUCUCUAAAGUGUAGAAUCCAAGUCUCAGAUGGAGGAAGCCAUAGCCCCUACUGUAGAGAGCUGUGGAGCAAUACAUGAGCAGCAAUGUUGGUUAUAGUCAUCAUUAGCAUUCUCUUGGGAUGAGCCUUCUGGAGUCCUGAAUGGGAAGGUACCCUCUCAGAUAUGCACCUGAAAUGCUGGUGAGUGGAUUUGGAAACCAGAGGAGGAGGGAGCAAGCCUGACAAUCUAUUAUGAAAACUGAGAAGUCAAACCAGUGCUCACACCGGCAUGGUAGGUAACCUGCCUCUGUAUGGAGCCAGGCUUUGGAGCCACCUGCAGUCAAGCACCUUGAAAGAACAGUCCUUAGAAAGGAGGAAUACCCACCAUUUGCUUCAACGUGGAUGGAACUGGAGGGUAUUAAUACUGAGUGAACUUACCUCAACUCAGGCAAAUGAAACCUGAAAACACCCCUCAGGUGAUGGUGACUGCCCUGACAAGACCCCCUGUCGGCCCAGACCACCCAGACCUUUUGAGCUAAAAGCCCAACUCAUGCUUGCACAGAUGGACCAUGGAGUGACCCCUGGAAUGACCUACCACUACCUUUUCAUCAUCAAUACUAAAAUCUCAUGGGAUCCCUGCGUGGCACAGCGGUUUGGCGCCUGCCUUUGGCCCAGGGCGCGAUCCUGGAGACCCGGGAUCGAAUUCCACAUCGGGCUCCUGGUGCAUGGAGCCUGCUUCUCCCUCUGCCUGUG